rnacentral:rRNA from 1 species
UACGGAGGGUGCGAGCGUUGUCCGGAAUCACUGGGCGUAAAGGGCGCGUAGGCGGCGCGGAAAGUCAACGGUGAAAGCUUGGGGCUCAACCCCGAGUCGGCCGUCGAUACUUCCGUGCUCGAGCACUGUAGAGGCAGGUGGAAUUCCGGGUGUAGCGGUGGAAUGCGCAGAUAUCAGGAGGAACACCAAUAGCGAAGGCAGCUCGCUGGGACGUUACUGACACUAAGGCGCGAAAGCGUGGGGAGCGAACAGG